UGUGAUUGUCUUUGAAUUUAGAGUUUUGGCUUCAGCCUGUUAUGCAACAAAGCAAGAAUUAAACUGAACGCAAAACAUUAACUUUGUGUUGUUUACAAACUUAACAAAUGGCAGUAAGCAAUGUUAUUGUAUUUUUGUAAAGUUUCCCUUUAGGUGACAAAGCGAGGCUGAAGCAGUGGCUGGUGAACACAAGACGGCAGGACUGGAAAGCAACAGGAUCAUCAUGUCUUUGCAGUGCUCAUUUUGAAGAGCAUGCCUUUACUGUGGACUCAAAGGUUAAAUUAUUUCUUUUUUAAUGGACAGCAAUUUUUAUGAAGUUCACAUUUGCAACAAUUUAUUGUUAAAUUGACUAACACUUUGAAUCAUAAAAUGGCGGUUAUUUAAACAUUCCCAAGAGCUGAACACUACAACUAUUGUGGUUCCAUUUUAAAUUAUUGCUGUUUUUAUGUUUUUCUCUAGGGUAAGCGUUGCCUCAAGACGACAGCUGUUCCAACUGUGUUUCUAGAUCACCAGGUAAGGUCCUCUGUGUUAGGUGUGAAACGCAGGAUUUUGGGAGGUAGUGACACAGAGGUAAGGCAGCCGUCACUUAAAUCAGCCAAGGUUUCUCAGGUCAGCCUACAGGAGUCACACGUAGACCAAGGCCACGUUAGCUUUCCAUCUGCUGCCGAUUACAGCAAUGCCACCUUGACUGAAAAUGCAAAUGGGAAUGACCCAUUAAGCAUUGACAUCUGUCAGGCUGACACUGCUGUAACAGUGAAUGCAUUUAAGGAAGACCACAGUUAUUCAGCAUCAGCACCAAUGAAUGCAGCACUUGUCCCCAUUGGAGAGGAUCACAGCUACCAUCUGAAGGCUCCUAAAACUCUGACAAAGAAAAGUCAGGCCACCGAAAAGUUUGUGGUUAGGGUGAGUCGUGGUGAGUGGGCUUUCAACUAAGAUGGGCCUUCUGUGUUACAUGUAUUAAAGCCAGAUCAGAAACAAGAUCAGAACAAAAGUAUUUUAACAGUAAGGAAAUAGAUUAAGACAAAGUCAAGACAGAAAUGAGAAAAGAGUGAGAUUAAAACGUCAUAAAAUUUAGGUAUUUGCAUGUAGUUGUAGUGUCUGCUACCAUCUACUGUUCAUUAUUAGUUAGUGUCAUCAGUCAUUUUCAGUUUAAGUUGGCGCAGCCUGGAGUAAAAAAAAACAGGAAUCAUGUUGCAAAAAAAAUUUGAGUGAUACCACAUGAACAACUUCUUAUGCUUAGACCAAAUGUGCCCCGUUAGGUAAAGGUAACAGCACUAGCCAAGUAGUAGUCUCUAAGAAUGCUAACUAAAUGGAACCUUUUAAAUAAUUGGACAAGUAUAUCAAAACCUCUAAAGUUUUCAUGCUGAGCUACCACCUGGUUUGAGACAUAAGUGUCUUAAUGAGUUUAAGUGCUGGUAUUCACAAUUUAAUUGAUGAAUUUCUUUGUGUUUUUCAGACUUCAUCACCAACCACUGAUGAUAUGGUGGAUUCAUCUGCUGCAGCCUGUUUCCUUUCC